UACGUAGGUGGCAAGCGUUGUCCGGAAUUAUUGGGCGUAAAGCGCGCGCAGGCGGUCCUUUAAGUCUGAUGUGAAAGCCCACGGCUCAACCGUGGAGGGUCAUUGGAAACUGGGGGACUUGAGUACAGAAGAGAAGAGUGGAAUUCCACGUGUAGCGGUGAAAUGCGUAGAGAUGUGGAGGAACACCAGUGGCGAAGGCGACUCUUUGGUCUGUAACUGACGCUGAGGCGCGAAGGCCAGGGGAGCAAACGGG
rnacentral:rRNA from 1 species